GGAGUCUGGCCCGUAUUCCAGUGCCAGUGUGGCGGAUCAUCCUCUCAGACCCGCUAACCAUCGUCGCCUAGGUAGGCCAUUACCCCACCUACCAGCUAAUGGUACGCAGACCCCUCUUCAUACAGUAGCUUACAUGUAGAGGCCACCUUUCCUCGCCUUGCCUAUGAAAUGCGAGCGUAUCCGGUAUUAGUACCCCUUUCGGCGUGUUAUCCCGAAUAUGAAGACAGGUUAUCUACGCGUUACUCACCCGUGCGCCACUCUACUCACGGCCGAAGCCGCUUUCGCGUUCGACUUGCAUGUGUUAAGCACGCCGCCAGCGUUCGUU
rnacentral:rRNA from 1 species